GUCAGCGUAGCUCAUCAGGAUAGAGCACAGGUUUCCUAAACCUGGGGCAGUGGGUUCGAGUCCCGCCGCUGACGCCA
rnacentral:tRNA from 1 species